rnacentral:rRNA from 1 species
AUACGGAGGGUGCAAGCGUUAAUCGGAAUUACUGGGCGUAAAGCGCGCGUAGGCGGUUUAGUAAGUCGGAUGUGAAAGCCCCGGGCUCAACCUGGGAAUUGCAUUCGAUACUGCUUGACUAGAGUAUGGUAGAGGGAAGUGGAAUUUCCGGUGUAGCGGUGAAAUGCGUAGAUAUCGGAAGGAACACCAGUGGCGAAGGCGACUUCCUGGGCCAAUACUGACGCUGAGGUGCGAAAGCGUGGGGAGCAAACAGGAUUAGAAACCCCAGUAGUCC